CCCCGCCCAUAAAAAAAAAACCCCAGACUCUCAACUCCCAAUACCCUCACUCUCUCCCCUCUACUGCUCUCUAAAAAAAAAAAAAAAAAACAGAAAUGGAAGAAGAAGAAGACGACCAACAAAACAUCCUAGAUCUGGUCAAAGAAUUAGUCAAUCGCUUACUCUCUCAAAACCCUCAAAACCCUAGACCCCCAAUUUCUAACCCUAACCCUAACUCUCCUGAUUUCCAAAAUUCUCUUCGCUACGCAAUCCGCAUUCUCUCCAGCAGAUUAACCCCAUCGAUUGCCCCUGAUGCCGCCGCAAUUGCUGAAUCAAUCAAGCGUGGUCUUGCCACUCAAGGUAAAUCCUCCCAAGCUCUCACUCUCGCUGAGUUAUACAACAAAUUUGCAUCGAAAACGGGACCGGGAAGUAUUAAUAACAAAUGGGCAGUUCUUUAUUUGCUUAAAAUCAUUUCCGAAGAUACAAAAAUUGCACAAAAUGCUCCAAAUUCCACGCUUUUGUUACCUAAUUUGGGGUUAAAUGAGCUUGAUUUGAGCAAUGAAUCGCGGAUUUCCCGUGAUUUUAAGAGAAGGGAAAAGGGUUAUGAUAAUGGGGUUUUGUUGGUUAGUAAAGAUCCGGAGAAUUUGCUUGAAAUCGCAUUUAGAGAGUUCGUUAAUCUGGUGAAAGAGGAAAAUGAGGUGUCCGAAGAAGUUUUAGUGAGAGAUGUGUUAUAUGUUUGUCAAGGGAUUGAUGGGCAAUAUGUGAAGUUUGAUGAAAAUGUUGAUGGGUAUGUUUUAUCAGAUUCAAUCAAGGUUCCAAGAGGUACAAGGGUUAUGGUUAGGAAGUUGUGUGAGUUGGGGUGGUUGUUUAGGAAAGUUAAAGGGUAUAUUUCAGAGAGUAUGGAUCGGUUUCCAGCUGAAGAUGUGGGAACUGUAGGGCAGGCAUUUUGUGCUGCGUUACAGGACGAGCUUUCAGAUUAUUAUAAGUUGUUGGCUGUGCUUGAAGCGCAGGCAAUGAAUCCAAUUCCGUUGGUUUCAAAGUCAACUAGUUCGAGUAAUUAUUUGUCAUUGAGGAGGUUGUCAGUUUGGUUUGCUGAGCCAACAGUGAAAAUGAGGUUAAUGGCUGUUUUGGUUGAUAAAUGCAGAGUCUUGAGGGGUGGGGCAAUGGCUGGGGCUAUACAUUUGCAUGCCCAGCAUGGCGAUCCAUUGGUGCAUGAGUUCAUGAGGAGUUUACUGCAGCAUGUUUGUUCGCCACUUUUUGAAAUGGUUAGGAGUUGGGUUUUGGAAGGGGAGUUGGAGGAUAUUUUUGCUGAGUUCUUUGUUGUGGGUCAACCAGUGAAAGCUGAAUCACUUUGGAGAGAAGGUUACAGGCUCCAUGCUGGAAUGCUUCCUUCAUUCAUUUCACAACCCCUUGCUCAGCGCAUUUUAAGGACUGGGAAGUCAAUAAAUUUCCUUCGUGUCUGUUGUGAUGAUCGUGGUUGGGCUGAUACUGCAACAGAGGCUGCUGCUGCUGCUGGGACCACAACUAGAAGAGGGAGUCUUGGAUAUGGUGAAACUGAUGCGCUUGAAACUCUGGUUGUUGAAGCAGCAAAGAGAAUUGACAAGCAUCUGUUGGAUGUUAUCUACACGAGGUAUAAAUUCAAAGAACACUGCCUUGCAAUCAAGCGAUAUUUACUGCUGGGGCAAGGUGAUUUUGUCCAGUACUUAAUGGAUAUUGUUGGGCAGGAACUUUCUGAGCCUGCUAAUACAAUUAGUUCAUUCCAGUUGGCAGGGUUGCUGGAAAGUGCAAUUCGAUCAUCCAAUGCUCAGUAUGAUGAUCCUGACAUAUUAGAUAGGUUGAGGGUGAAGAUGUUGCCGCAUGGUACUGGAGAUAGAGGUUGGGAUGUAUUCUCGUUGGAAUAUGAUGCCAGAGUACCAUUAGACACAGUGUUUACAGAAUCUGUUAUGGCAAGGUAUUUAAGAAUUUUUAAUUUCCUGUGGAAGCUGAGGCGAGUGGAGCAUGCACUUAUUGGUGCGUGGAAGACAAUGAAACCUAAUUGUAUUACUUCUCAUUCUUUCACCAAGCUGCAGGAUGCAGUUAAGUUGCAGUUACUCUCAACACUGAGACAAUGCCAGGUCCUUUGGAAUCAGAUGAAUCAUUUUGUUACAAACUUGCAAUAUUAUAUCAUGUUUGAAGUUCUGGAGGUUUCAUGGUCUAACUUCUCAAAUGAAAUGGAAGUGGCAAAGGAUCUUGAUGAUCUACUUGCAGCACAUGAUAAGUACCUCCACUCAAUUGUAGAGAAAUCUCUUCUUGGUGAACGAUCUCAAUCCCUUUACAAGUCACUAUUUGUCUUGUUUGACCUUAUACUGCAUUUCAGAAGUCAUGCAGAUCGAUUGUGUGAAGGAAUUUACGAGUUACAAGCAAGAACCAGGGCAUCCUCUUUAUCCUCUCAAGACAAGACAAAAUCACGAAGGCAUACAAGAGAUAAUCCGUCAGAGCCUGGAUCAUGGUUUAGUGAUGGCAGGAAGGCCCUAGAACAACGUGCUGGUGAAUUUCUUCAAAAUAUGGGGCGGGAACUGGAAGAAAUAUCAAAGGAAUAUACAGUGUUGCUCGAAGGUUUCUUGUCUCAGUUGCCUGUGCAACAACAUGUUGAUUUGAAAUUCCUCUUCUUUCGGCUUGACUUCACUGAAUUUUAUAGUAGGUUCCGUCCUGGCACAUAGCAAAGCUGUUAAUACACGUGAGUUUACUCCAAUUUGCAACUCAAGGCAUGAACAGAGUGCAGUUAUUUGCUGGACCUUAAGUGAAGAAUUAUGCAAUGUCUUGCUGAUGCCAGGAUUGACCUUUAUAUUUCACUGCUUGAUUUUAGAUUGUGCUCCUUUCUAAGGGUUUACGUGAAAGUUUGCGAUCAUGUCAGAGUGGUUGCUGCAAUAAACAUAUCAUAAUUCCUUGUGUUGCUGGCAAGCUGUCCUUGCAAUGAAAACUGUGGUCUUAUCACAAGGGAUUGUUAACGGGCCCAUGCUAUCUCAAUAACCUUCUUGCUGGCACACGAAUGAGCAAGACUGUUCAUUAAAUUAUAUCAUCAUAAAGAUUUGGCCUUGUAUGAUUAUUACCUAUUGGGAAAAGGCUCUUGUGCAUACAACAUAGAUGGCUUGUGUUGCUGGAGAAUUAGAAUGAGGUUAAAGCAAAUACCCAGUUGAAGUCUUGAAGAAAGAUCAAAGUGACAUCAUAGAGACAAAGGAAGCACCUCAUGCAUGCUUGACAGGGUGCCUCCCAUAAGCCAAAGAGUGGAAUGGUGUAUUAUUCUUUCUAGGACUGGUAGCACUUUGGUGAGAGUGUCCCUUAGCCCUUGGAAUAUUUAUUGAGUGUUUGCUUGUCUAGCUGAAUAUGUUAGCUUAAAUGUGUAAGCCAGUAGCGCCGGUUUCAUUUUUGUCUACCCAGUUUGACAAGUGAUAUUGCUAUGUUAUAAAGUUAUAGAGAAGCAUAAGAUCAGCAUGAGGUUUAAAAUUGAAAAA